rnacentral:rRNA from 1 species
CCAGACUCCUACGGGGGCAGCAGUGGGGAAUAUUGGGCAAUGGGCGCAAGCCUGACCCAGCAAUGCCGCGUGAAGGAAGAAGGCCCUCGGGUUGUAAACUUCUUUUAUCAGGGACGAAGGAUGUGACGGUACCUGAUGAAUAAGCUCCGGCUAACUACGUGCCAGCAGCCGCGGUAAUACGUAGGGAGCAAGCGUUAUCCGGAUUUACUGGGUGUAAAGGGCGUGUAGGCGGGAGAGCAAGUCAGACGUGAAAUUCCAGGGCUCAACCCUGGAACUGCGUUUGAAACUGUUCUUCUUGAGUGAUGGAGAGGCAGGCGGAAUUCCGUGUGUAGCGGUGAAAUGCGUAGAUAUACGGAGGAACACCAGUGGCGAAGGCGGCCUGCUGGACAUUAACUGACGCUGAGGCGCGAAAGCGUGGGGAGCAAACAGGAUUAGAUACCCGAGUA